UCCCCGUUGCCGAGGCAGUCUGAAUAGAAAAAUUCAACUAUUCACAAGGGUUGCGCUCGUUAAUGGACUUAACCAAACAUCUCACGACACGAGCUGACGACGGCCAUGCAUCACCUGUCACUGCGGCCCGAAGGCACAUCCGUCUUUCGACGGACUUGGCAGGAUGUCAAGCCUUGGUAAGGUUCUUCGCUUACCAUCGAAUUAAACAACACGCUCCACCGCUUGUGCGGGUCCCCGUCAAUUCCUUUAUGUUUUAAGCUUGCGCUCGUACUCCACAGGCGGGAUGCUUAACGCGUUAGCUUCGCUACUACUCGGGUCGAUACGAAUAACAGCUAGCAUCCAUCGUUUACGGCGUGGACUA
rnacentral:misc_RNA from 1 species